rnacentral:rRNA from 1 species
CAACUGGGUUACUUGAGUGCAGGAGAGGAAGCGGAAUUCCUAGUGUAGCGGUGAAUGCGUAGAUAUAGAAGAACACCAGUGCGAAGGCGGCUUCUGGACUGUAACUGACACUGAGGCAUGAAAGCGUGGGGAGCAAACAGGAUUAGAUACCCAAGAAGUCCACGCCGUAAACGAUGGGUACUAGGUGUAGGGGUAUCAACUCCCUGUGCCGUCGUAAAAAAAGUAAGUACCCCGCCUGGGGAGUACGGUCGCAAGAUUAAAACUCAAAGGAAUUGACGGGGGCCCGCACAAGCAGCGGAGCAUGUGGUUUAAUUCGAGGCAACGCGAAGAACCUUACCUAGACUUGACAUCUCCUGAAUUACCCUUAAUCGGGGAAGCCCUUCGGGGCAGGAAGACAGGUGGUGCAUGGUUGUCGUCAGCUCGUGUCGUGAGAUGUUGGGUUAAGUCCCGCAACGAGCGCAACCCU